GAACGAAGAAUCAUCACCUGCAGAGAAGGAGAAGGGGAAGAAAAAAACAAAAACAACACCAAAAAAAACACAACCAAAAAAGAAAAAAGUUGUUGUGGAGGAUUCACCUCCUAAAGAAGAUCAAUACUUUGACGGUGAGACAUAUGAAAUAUCAAGUGACGAACUAGAUGAAUGGCUA